UACGGGGGGGGCAAGCGUUGUUCGGAAUUACUGGGCGUAAAGGGCUCGUAGGCGGCCAACUAAGUCAGACGUGAAAUCCCUCGGCUUAACCGGGGAACUGCGUCUGAUACUGGAUGGCUUGAGGUUGGGAGAGGGAUGCGGAAUUCCAGGUGUAGCGGUGAAAUGCGUAGAUAUCUGGAGGAACACCGGUGGCGAAGGCGGCAUCCUGGACCAAUUCUGACGCUCAGGCACGAAAGCGUGGGGAGCAAACAGG
rnacentral:rRNA from 1 species